CGGACCGAUCCAUGCUCCGUCACCGCCCGCAGAGGCCCGCCUUGGCCAUGGGCUCGGAGGCCAGUGACC
rfam:Tursiops truncatus cont1.220594, whole genome shotgun sequence.